GGCUCUAUUGUGUAGUGGUCAUCAUGUCUGCGUUACACGCCGAAAGUCCUGGGAUCGACCCCCAGUGGAACCA